GUUGUUGAGAAACUCUAAAAUUAAGUAAUUUCUUAUGGGGUUUAGGUGAUUAAAGAGUUCUCUAGAUAGAGGUCCAAUUUGAUUCUGAAAAGAGAAAUAUAUAAAGUUUUUUUUAAGAAUUGAGUUUCAUAAACUCAUUUUUUGGAAAACCUUAAAGAGAUUCUAGAGAGAGGAGUUAUGAAGUUCUAAGUCCCUCUUCUUUUUCUUUUUAGUCACGGGAGUUGUAGAAGUUAUGGAUUAAGUAGCUAGCGGGUCAUUCAAAGUCUUUUGAGCCGAGAAUCAGAAUGUUGGAGCAUUUGUGCGAAGUGCCCAGAUUUCUUAUCCUCCUUCUUCCUUCUUCCUUCUUCCUUUUUUCCAAUGUGAUUUUACGAUUGUGAUUAUCAUAUUUGAUACGAAAGGAGAGCAUGAAUAGGUUUUCUGACAGAGCCUUUUGGAGACCUUGUUGGUUGGCAGUGUUGAUUUUGGACUACCUCAGGGUAACUAGUCCAGUAGUUGUUAGUUGAUUAUAGUAGGUUUGAUUGACUAUUAAGAUUUUUAUUUUGAUAUUUGGAUUAUUGUUUAUCUUUAUAUAUUUGUACAAAAUUGUAUUUCUCUAGUUGUUGUUGAGACCCUUGCAUGGAUAUAUUAUAAUAUCUAUUUUCCAAA